rnacentral:rRNA from 1 species
CACGUAGGGGCAAGCGUUGUCCGGAUUUAUUGGGCGUAAAGCGCGUGUAGGCGGCUUUGCAAGUCGGGUGUGAAAGCCCUCAGCUCAACUGAGGAAGUGCGCCCGAAACUGCAGAGCUUGAGUGCCGGAGAGGGUAGCGGAAUUCCCCAAGUAGAGGUGAAAUUCGUAGAUAUCGGGAGGAACACCGGUGGCGAAGGCGGCAUCCUGGACCGGCAUUGACGCUGAGGCGCGAAAGCCAGGGGAGCAAACGGG